ACCAAACCAAACUCAAUAUCUGUUCGAAUUAUUUGUUUAGAGAUGGUCAGAUGGUUGAGAGAACAUAAAGGUCUUCACAUUUACGUUGAACCUCGUGUCAAAAAUGAGCUUCUGACAGAGUCAGACUACUACAAUUUUGUCCAGACAUGGAAAAGAGACGAUGAAAUUAUGCUUCUCCACACAAAAGUUGAUCUUGUGGUUACUCUUGGCGGAGAUGGAACAGUGCUUUGGGCAGCAUCAAUGUUUAAAGGACCAGCUCCUCCACUUGUUCCAUUUUCUUUAGGGUCUCUGGGUUUUAUGACUCCUUUUCACAGCGAGCAUUACAAAGAAUGCUUGGAUUCAGUUCUAAAGGGUCCAAUUAGUAUAACAUUGCG
rnacentral:misc_RNA from 1 species